UACAAACAGGCCGUCCACGAGCUUGUGCGUUGCGUAGCACUGACAAGAAUUUGCUAUGGAGACUCACAUUGGAAACUAGCAGAGGCACAUGUUAAUCUGGCUCAAGGCUACCUCCAGCUGAAAGGACUGUCACUGCAAGCGAAACAACAUGCAGAAAAAGCCAAACAAAUCCUCGCCAACUCCAUUGUGCCUCCCUAUAACGAGAAUACAGAUGUUUUCAAGUUUUCCAUUGAACUUUUCCAUACCAUGGGCAGAGCUUUACUCUCCCUUCAAAAGUAUCCUUUUGCCUCUAACUUUUACAAAUAGAAAUACUAUUCACAUAAUACUUACAUGCCAAGUAAAAAGCUGAUGCUGAUGGAUGACUUAGGAAGUGUGAUUGGAAGUAUGGGAGCCAAGGAAGUUCAGGACAUGGGGUGUAGAAUCUAGAACCAAGUGGAAAAUUUCCUGAACACAAUUCAGAUUUAAGGAAGCUUCAGAGAAUUUGACAAAAGCAGAGAGGCUUUCAAAAGAGCUGCUACAAUGUGGAAGGAUUAUAAAGGAAGAAUGGAUAGAAAUUGAAGCACGGAUCAGAUUAUCAUUUGCACAGGUGUGUCAAGGUCAGAAGAAAUCAAAAGAAGCUUUGUCCCACUAUCAAGCAGCUUUGGAAUAUGUUGAGAUCAGUAAAGGUGAAACAAGUCAUGAGUGUGUACCCAUAUUGAGAGAAUUAGCAGGUGUAGAGCAAGCCCUGGGACUCCACGAUGUAUCCAUCAACCACUUCCUCCAGGCACAUCUCAUCAUCCUGAGUAGAAGCCCCUCUCAAGUGGAGGCAGCACACUCCGCACACAUCGUCGCCCACGCUGCUGUCGCUUCAGGGAGACAUGAGCACCAUGAUGUAGCUGAGCAGUAUUUUCAAGAGAGCAUGGCUCAUCUUAAGGAUUCUGAAGGGAUGGGAAGAACCAAAUUUCUUUCAAUUCAAGAUGAAUUUUGCCAUUUUCUACAAAUGACUGGACAAAAAGAGAGAGCAACCUCGAUCCUGAGAGAGUCCCUGGAAGCCAAAGUGGAAGCAUUUGGCGAUUUCAGUCCCGAGGUGGCAGAGACAUACCGGCUCCUGGGAGGAGCAGACCUGGCGCAGGGGAACCACAGUGGGGCCCACAAGAAACUGAAGAAGUGUCUCCAGAUCCAGACCCUCUUAUAUGGACCGCAGGACAAAAGGACUCUGGCCACCCAGCAGGCCAUGGGCAUGCUGUCCACGGCCCCCAAGGUUGCUUCGAAGCCAAGGCAGGCAUCGAAAGCCAGAGUGGCCUUCUGCACCAGCAUCCCUCAGGACGCCCUGCUGGGGAAGGCCCGGCCCGCCACAACAGCCGACUGAGGCCCCCACCCUGAAAAAGCCUAGGGCAUUCCUGGGCACUGUCAUUUAGGGUGCUGUACAAAUCAUCUCCACCUAGAAAAUGGAAUUCGACAGUCAGGAUACAGAUUUCCAAGGCCAACUGUUGGCCCCAACAUGCAACAGUGAGACCAUAAGCCUCCCGUGGGCCACAUUUUGACAGUGGAUGCCCUUCAGGGUGAUAUAUGCUAUAAAGCAGUUUUCUAUCACCUAAGUGGUUUUUCUUGCCAACAAGAAUUUUUACCCAUCAGCACUACUGUGGCUGAGAAACUUCUCUUCAAAAGUUCAGCACGCCCUGUGCAGGAGUCAGCCCGGCAUCUGCUUGUACACACAGCUCCUUGCAUAGGUCUGGAGUCAGAUCUGGAACAGUGAAAUUCAAGAAGGAAGUCCUUUCUUAUAGGAGGCUAACAGGGAUUGAGAAUAACAUGAGAAGAAAACGCUAAUAAAGGGAAACGUGAACGUGCUGGUGUCAGCAUGUGUUUUCAAAGUGCAGCCUGCCUCAGAGUUCUUCGGAGCCUGAAAAGGGGUUUGGGAAAGAGCCCAGUAGGAGGGGCAGGAGGCCAACACACCUGACUUGGCCUGGGGCCCGGGAGGCAGGUAUAAGGGAGUGAAAAGAAAGGCUAGCAGGAGGCUGCGGGGGGAGGACCGCAGACUCCCUGCUGUUUCGCAUCCCUCCUGUGGCCUCCACUGGAGGCAGGACAAACCUGGACGCCACCUGGAGCUGCUUCCUGAGUCGGCACGCUAUCGUGUACACAGCAGUCUUCAGCCCCCUGGAAGGAGGCCACAGUCUCCCCUCCAGCCCCCAGUGGGACAUCCAAACCACCCUGGGGCCAUUUGUGCAGGGCACCACCUCCAGUAUUGAUGGGGAAGAUAAACUCAAUAGAGCCACGACACGGUGGAGAGAAGCAGGGACCACUGUCUUCCUCAGCUGACCCCACAGACCAUGCUUGCUGGUACACACUGACCCAGACCCAGGCCUGUCGGACAUCAGCAGUGUGCUAACAAGGUGUAAGAUGUGGUCACCACUCACCGUGUGUCCUAUCUAGUUGACAUGGGUGGAGUCGGCUAAGAAGUGAAUGUUCAUAUGCUCCCAAUUCACGUUGAAGCCCUAAUCCCCAAAGGGAUGGUAUUAGGGGGUGGGGCCUUGGAGAGGUGAUUAGGUUAUGAGGGUGGAGCCCUGAUGAAUGGGAUUAGUGCUUUACAGGAAGAGACACCAGAGAGAUGGUCUCUGUCUCCGCCAUGUGAGCAUACAGUGAGAAGACAGCCAUCUGCAGGCCAGGAAGACAGCCCUCACCAGGAAGUGAAUCUGUUGGCACCUUGAGACUUCCCAGCUUCCAGAACUGUAAGAAAUAAAUGUUUGUUGUUUAAGCC
rnacentral:sRNA from 1 species